rnacentral:rRNA from 1 species
AAGUACGUGAAACUGCACUCUGAAAAGCAAAUGAGUACACAUAAGGUUCAGUCUGGGCAAGUCAGGUGCGGCGGCGUGUUCACAUGUGUACUUUGGUAUGCUAUGUGUGAAUUGCUGCUGAUCCGCAUCGCAUUUUGCCGAUUGACGCGCUGCUUGUCUUUGUCUUGGUUGCAAUCAUAGCAACGUAUGCCGGUCGACUUUGUCGAUUCUGGCAAAUUGAUAGUGGUGUUGCACUUUUGUGCACGUACAUGGGAAACAUUUCGUCUUGGCGAAGUGUUAGUCAGCUUGGACAAAGAUUGUCAAACUCUGGUCCGGCGGCUUGUUGAUAGUCAUGUGCUUACAGCGGUUUUGGUGUGCUGUGGCUUCGGUUGCAGUAUGGCAAGGAUUGUUGUGUGGUGCAUGGUGUUUGUCGGUUGUUCGGAAUGAAAAGCAGGCCAUGUUGUGGCAUCAUUUGAACCGUCUUGAAACACGGGCUAAGGAGUUCAACAAAUGUGCAAGUUAUCUGGUCGAUUGAAACCAGACAGCGCAGUGAAAGCAAGUUGGUUUAUAAUUGUGAUAACUGUUAACACAGUUGUGUUAAUGGAUCAUCACUUUUGAUGGAUGGCACGUAAGGUACCGGUUGUCGUUCGCAAUCGAGCGCAUAUGUUGAGACCCGAAAGAUGGUGAACUAUGCCUGAGUAGGAUGAAGCCGGAGGAAACUCUGGUGGAGGUCCGUAGCGUUUUUGACGUGCAAAUCAAUCGUCAGACUUGGGUAUAGGGGCGAAAGACUAAUCGAACCAUCUAGUAGCUGGUUCCCUUCGAAGUUUCCCCCAGGAAAGCUGGUGUUGUAUCAGACAGUUUCGUCUGGUAAAGCGAAUGAUUAGAGGCAUUGGGGAUGAAUUGUCCUCGACCUAUUCUCAAACUUUAAAUGGGCGAAGAGCUCUGACACUACUUGAUUGAGUGUCGAGCUAGAAUGCAAUGGCACCAAGUGGGCCACUUUUGGUAAGCAGAACUGGCGAUGUGGGAUGAACCAAACGUUGAGCUAAGAUGCCAAAAAUGCCUCUCAUGAGAUACCAUGAAAGGUGUCAGUCGAUACUGACAGCAGGACGGUGGCCGCAGAAGUAGGAAUCCGCUAAGGAGUGUGUAACAACUCACCUGCCGAAUCGACUGGCCCUGAAAAUGGAUGGCGCUAGAGACGCAUAUCGAUGCUCAACCGUCAAUGCCAACAAAUACAGCGAAUGCAAUAUGGCUUGGCGUGUAGAAGGGCGAUUGCGGUGGCGUCGAAACCUGCACCGUGAGGUGGGGUUGAGCCGCCGCAUGUGCAGAUCUUGGUGGUAGUAGCAAGUAUUCAAAUGAGAGCAUUGAAGACUGAAGUGGAGUAAGGUUCCAUGUGAACAACAUUUGAACAUGGAUCAGCCGAUCCUAAGAGAACGGUUAAGUUCGUGAUUAAGUGCGUUGCGUUGUGCAAUGCAAUCGAAAGGGAAUCGGGUUAAUAUUCCCGAGCCAGGAUACGGUUGAUGUUCAACAUUCCAGAAGUGCCUCGUGCACUGAUGGUGUUGUGCAUAAGUGGUAACACUAACAAACCCAGAAAUUAACUAUACGAAGUCCGGGGAAGAGUUUUCUCUUCUUUGUAAGGAAUGUUAUCCCUGGAAUCAGAUUGUCUGGCGAUAGGGUACGCAUUCCGUAAUGCAGCGCGAUUCCUGCGAUGUACCGUGCGCUUCGUAUAGUGCUUGAAAAUCUGGGGGCGCGAUAGUUCAGACCGUACCUGUUCGUACUGAUUUCCGCAGCAGGUCUCCAAGGUGAGCAGCCUCUAGUCAAUAGGACAAAGUAGACAAGGGAAGUCGGCAAAUUAGAUCCGUAACUUCGGAAAAAGGAUUGGCUCUAAAAGCUGAGCUGGUCGGGCUAUCGCAAUAAGCUGUUAGCUUUGUCUUGGCUCUGUCUCAGUUGCUGUAUGCUCGCAAGGGUGUCGGCUUCGAGGACGGACCUCGGUUUUGCGUUCUGUGUAAGGUGAUGGCUAUGCUGCCUGGUUGAUGAGUGAUCAACUUCCAGGUAGAUCCGAUCAGCGUUAAACAGCUGACCUAGAACUGGUAUGGACAAGGGGAAUCCAACUGUUUAAUUAAAACAAAGCAUUGCGAUAGCUGUAAUCGGUGUUGACGCAAUGUGAUUUCUGCCCAGUGCUCUGAAUGUUAAAGUGAAGAAAUUCAUCAAAGCGCGAGUUAACGGCGGAAGUAACUAUGACUUUCUUAAGGUAACCAAAUGCCUCGUCAUCUAAUUAGUGACGUGCAUGAAUGGAUUAUUGAGAUUCCUACUGUCCCUGUCUGCAGCCUAGCGAAACCACAGCCAAGGGAACGGGCUUGGAGAGUAACAGCGGGGAAAGAAGACCCUGUUGAGCUUGACUCUAGUCAGUCUCUGUGAAGAAACAUGACGGGUGUAGAAUAGGUGGGAGGCCGCGCCGGUGAAAUACCACUACCAUCAUCGUUUCUUUACUUACUCAGUGAUUCAGGGAGCGUGUAUUUGUCGCUAUUUGCGAUGUAUAAUCCUUGAUUCUUCGGAAUUGAGGAGUAUCUGGUCUGAGAACACAGACUGAUUGGGAGUUUGACUGGGGCGGUACAUCUGUUAAAAUCUAACGCAGGUGUCCUAAGGCAAUCUCAGCGUGGACAGAAACCUCGCAUAGAGCGAAAGGGCAAAAGAUUGCUUGAUCUUGAUUUUCAGUACGAAUAAAGACAAUGAAAGUUUGGCUUGUCGAUCCUUUUGAAUUUUACGAGUUUUAAGCAAGAGGUGUCAGAAAAGUUACCACAGGGAUAACUGGCUUGUGGCGG